ensembl:lncRNA
UUUGGCAACAUUUGUUGUGAAAUUAGAACUUUUGUUGUUUGGAUAUAUUUCGGCUGAGGCAUUGCUGGGCAGAGUCAGAUAAAAACCUGAGGUUUCCAUGAUUGUUGAAAUCACUUUUGAACAACACACACUAACGGUAGUUAUUUUAUCCUGUUGCGUCCAAUAUCCUCCGAGUCUAGGACCCAGCAGUGUUGCCAAGUACGUUGAUUAUAAGCGACUUUGGGCUUGUUUUUCUGUUAAGUCGCUUACAAAUAUUGAUAGUCGCGGGUCGCGUUUGUUUUGGGCUUUUUUCUAAAGUGUAGUUGCUUAUUUGGGCUUGUUCCCAGCUCCAUAAUAAGUUGUCAAGCAGAUAUUUUCUAUGUUAUUUAAACGAGUUUAUCUUGCCUGUUCCCUCUGUCCAUCUCCUUUCCCCAUACACACAGGAGACAGCAGAGUUUUCACCCACCCACAUCCUGCUUCUAAUUGGGUCUGACCCAGAUGGCAACGAGUACUAGCCAGAGCUGGGCAAUCGGUUUUUUUCUGUUUAGGAAAACGUUAGUGAGUGACGUUUGAAUGAAAAUACACGCGAGUCGCGACUGAUGGUGACUGGACUGUAGGAGAGUUUUUGGAGGAACAAAUGCCCGGGACAAAGUGGGCGAAAUACGGGAAGAAAUAUAACAAAUACUUGGAGAAAGAGAAAGGAAUAAAAGAAUGGAUUAAACCCGUCGUGGGGGACGACUCAAAAGCACUGUGCAGAGUAUAUGAGCCUGGUCAAGUCCAAACUGAGGAACAGAAUGGGACAAGAAACUCUCAGCAGCAAAUUCCACAUAAAAUAAGGACUGAGAAGACAAGGCAUAUGCUGCAAGGACUUUGCCUCAAGCAAGGAGACGUUCCAGUGCUUCAAUAGUCGCAUGUAGUCUGUGAGUGGAGCACCAGAGAGCAGGGACACGGAUGCAGAUGAAGACAGUGAAGAUGGAUUUAAAGCACAAGCUCUGGCCUCUACACAUGAAGGAAACAGCAGUGGAGGUAUGAAGACACACCUGAAGACAGUACAAGUCCAUGUUCUACAGAGAUUGAAACUGCCUACUCUGUACCUGUCCUGUGGCGUCUUAAGCUCAUAUGCCACUUUGACAUUUGACUUUGAUUGGCCCUCUUUGGGUCACCACACUCUCCUCAACUAAACAAGAGGAUAGUUACAUUCUCAUUUCACACACAUUUUUUUUAAUGUUUUGUUUUUAUUAUUUAUAUGGUUUUAUUAUGUUCUUGUUUGGAUGUAGGCCAUCAAGAACGUCUGAAUGUAGAACUAAAACAUGUUGAAUGUUUCAGGAUAUUGAAGAUAUUUUCAGAUAUUUCAUAGAUUCUGUUCAGACAAAUUGUUAUUAAAUGUUUAAUUUGCACCUUGGUACCUGAAGCAACUUGAAAGAUAAUGGUGGUGUUAUUCUUCAUAUAUAUGAGGCUAAAGUGUUAUGAUUCUUAAAAAUGUUUUAGACCAAGCCUCAUCCUCACCUGUUCAAAUGGUUUUGACUGGAAUGGUUUUUAAACCAGUUUAGUUUAUUUAAAUCUUUUCUAACUCACUCUUAUGUUUAUCAGAGCAGGAGCCACUUUAUUGCUGCACACUAAGAUUAUCAAUAAUUACUUCUGUUUCUGGGUUAUAGUUAUUUAAAAAUGGGAUCUUCUGCAGUCCCUGCAAUAAUAAAUAAACAAUUUGUGAAUUCA